GGUUUAUGCCUCUAUUCACCUUUGCACUUUCAUCAGAGCAAUUGCUAAGGUCUAAAAGAGAAGGACAUUAUAUAUCAUGCCAGAAAAAACCCUUAUCAAGAUAUUUUAUCCAUAAAACAUAAAAGCAAGUAAUCAACAUAAAACCAUAAACAUGACAGCUCAAUAUCCCUCUCUAACAUUUUCAACAUGAGGAUCCCAGUAUUUUAUCACAGGGCUCUAAAUAUUUGCUGUGCCUUGAAUUAUGAAAAGCACUGCGGUUGCUACACCACAAGAUUGAUGUAGAGAUGCUUUAUAGUAAAAAAAAAAAUUAAGCAAAUUCAUGUCUUGCUUAAAAAAAGGCUACUUCCUCUUUUCGAAUCCUUAAUUCAGUGUUUAGUGAAGUGAAAAUAAAACGGAAUCUGAAAUAGCUUUACAAAAAAAUAUUUGCAUAAAAGCCAUGUAAGACAUUUGAGGCAGUCUGAUUACAUAUCACCCAACUAUAGAUAUAUACAGUAUGAAGCAUGCGGGAUGUAAGUACACAUGCUCUGAGACUGGUCUCUAUGGGUGGUUCCCUAAAAUCUAUGUUCCCGAUAAAAGAGACAUGAUUUUGUAAGGCUCAAUCAGGCUAUUGAGUCACUACAUCCUGUGACUCACUCUGUGUUUGCAUGCUUGAUUUCUGUUUGUUUUCUCCUUUUAUGACAACGGCCAAUCUGCAGUUUUUCGUAGAAAAGAGGACAAGACUUAAUAAUAAUGGCAGUCAGGAUGAGACCCUUGGAAGCAAAGGAGUCCGUAAUACUUUUUUUAAUAAUUUUGGCCCAAGGCUUUGACUACUCCUGGACAUGUUAUUGUGAUCAGCAAUAUUUUUGCAACUGUUCAUUAAAUCAUCUCCAAAAGGUCCCUAAAGUUCCAGUGAAUGCUCUUGGCCUUGACCUGUCAUUCAAUCAAAUUGAGUCUAUUGACAUGAAUGAUCUCAGCCCAUAUAGUGAGCUGAAAACCCUGAACUUGCACAAGAACAAGCUCAAGUUUAUACACAAGGAGGCUUUCAAAUCUCAACAUAAGCUGGAAGUUCUUGAUCUGUCCUUAAACAGCCUAGAAAAGCUAUCUUCAUCUUGGUUCCACGAGCUAAACUCUCUCCAGCAACUGAACCUUGUAGAAAACCCAUACACCACCGUGGGACCUGCUCCCAUUUUCCAGUCUCUCUUUAACCUAAGAACGCUGCAGUUUGGUAGUCCUUCACUGAGAGAGGUGUACAAGAAUGGCUUAGAUGGGAUCACUCUUCUGGAUGAGAUGACAUUCAUUGGCAGUAACCUCAAGUCAUAUGAGAACGGCAGCUUUAAAGCAGCCCGUCCAAUCGGUUCAGUCUCUUUGAGCCUUCAGAGUCCAUUUCAGAACGAUCCAGAAUUAGUCUCUAAGGUUCUUAAAGAUGUCUCCCACCCUAAAACUCGGCUGACUAUCAAAAAUGUUGAACUCAGAACGAACACUUCGACAGAAUCCUUUAAAGCGGCAAGAGAAGGUGGGACUGAAAGCUUGAGUUUCCCUAAUUGCACCACAACUGAUGAAGCAUUUACCUCUUUUUUGGUGGUCAUGGAUAAUUCUUCUUUGUCUUACAUUGGUCUUGAAGAAGUACAUUUGAUUGGUUAAGGGUGGUGGCAGAAAGCUUCGUACACACAUUAUGAACACUUACAUACAGCCUACAUACGUAAUCUUGACAUCCAAGGGUUCUUUGAGUUCAGUAGCAUGAAGCAAUUGGGAUUUCUGCUGGUGAAUCUCCACAAGGUGUCCGUGAUCAACGGCACAGUGUUUGUUAUUCCUCCGAUAACUACAGUCUUGUUGAAAAAACUUGAAUAUUUAGACCUGAGUCAGAACCUCCUUUCAGACCUGACAAUUGCACCGACGUUAUCUACGAGUUUUGGUGCAUAUCAAAACCUCCUCACUCUUAACGUGAGCCAGAACGUUUUAAAAUCCCUUGGGCUGAUGUCUCAGUUGACCACUAACCUUAAGAGCCUCACAGAUUUAGACUUGAGCCAUAACAGUUUUGUUUCUAUGCCAGAAAAGUGUAGCUGGCCAGCGACUCUCAGGUUUCUGAACCUUUCCAGCACAAAGCUACGUAAGAUGACCCCAUGCCUGCCUUCUAGCUUGACAGUCCUGGAUCUCAGUGAAAACGAUCUGAUGGUGUUCAACCAAAGAUUUCCCCAACUCAUUACGCUUAUACUGACAGGCAACCGAUUUAAAAAACUCCCGCAGGGGGAAUUAUUUCCAACACUGCAGACACUGCUUAUAAAAAGGAACGCCUUGCGGAUGUUUAACAGUAGUGAUUUGAAGAGAUUCAAAAACCUACAAUAUUUGGAGGCAGGGGAUAACAAUUUUGUGUGCUCCUGUGAAUUUGUAUCUUUCUUUAAACGGGAUGUUAAACUUUUCAUCACCCUAAGGGACAGUCGUCGCAGUUACGUGUGCGACACUCCGUUCACUCUCAGAGGUGAUUCUAUUGACAGUGUCAGAUUGUCCGUUUUCGAGUGCUAUAUGAUCCCUGCUGUCUCAGUACUUUGUUUUGUGAUUAUCAUAGCGCUUGGACUUAUUGUUGUUACUUGCCAUAAGCUUCACGUUAUAUGGUAUCUGCAGAUGACAAAAGCAUGGAUACAAGCCAAAAGAAAACCUGCAGUUGGUCGACUGGCCGAUGAGCUCCGCUAUGAUGCUUUUGUAUCUUACAGUCAACAUGACGCUGAGUGGGUCGAGGAAAUCCUUGUUCCAGAACUAGAGAGCACUCAGCCUCCAUUUGCCCUGUGUUUGCACAAACGGGACUUCCAGCCGGGCCGCUGGAUCGUGGACAACAUCAUCGACUCGAUUGAGAAAAGCCAUCGGACUCUCUUUGUUCUGUCUGAGCACUUUGUUACCAGCGAAUGGUGCCGUUACGAGCUGGACUUCUCACAUUUCCGCAUAGUAGAUGAACACAAUGACUCCGCUGUCCUGGUACUUCUAGAACCAAUCAAGAAGGAGACCAUUCCCAAACGUUUCUGCAAGCUGAGGAAGAUUAUGAACUCCAGGACGUAUCUGGAGUGGCCGGAGGAGGAGGAAAAGAGAAGCGAGUUCUGGAGCAAUCUGAGAGCUGCUCUACACAGAGAGGAAUGUUAAUGGCUUGCCAGGUUGUGUGACAAAUAUAGAUUAAUCUAAAAUGGCCAAGUACCAAAAUGCAAUGUCUGUAUGAUGCAUUACUUUAAUUUGCAUGCUUACUCUAUAUACAGG